AUCGGGUGGAAGCUUGCGUUUAGGGGUAAACAAACGGAUAGAGCCUCGUCUAUCAUAUUCGUAUAUGCAUACGGCCCUUGGUGAAGGUCUGAGAAAAGCCAGCUUGCUCUAGCGGAGCCGCCUAUGAAUUCAUGGGCGUUGGAGUCAACAGCAAUGCACGGUGUCCUGGUCGCAUGGCGGUUGAAGCGUUUCAUUGCGCAGACGUUGACCAGGAUGGCGUUGGGAAGACUCCUCGGUGGCAGCGCUAUGAAGUGCAAUACGCGAGGCAGCAUAUGAUUGCUGUAACUCAAUUCAGACUACUCUCUAUUCGAU
rfam:Basidiobolus meristosporus CBS 931.73 K493scaffold_350, whole genome shotgun sequence.